UAUGUGAUUCAGUCAUUGGUGAUCCCAU
rnacentral:sRNA from 1 species